rnacentral:rRNA from 1 species
AACGAACGCUGGCGGCAGGCCUAACACAUGCAAGUCGAGCGAGGACUUCGGUUCUAGCGGCGGACGGGUGAGUAACGCGUGGGAAUGUGCCCUUCUCUACGGAAUAGCCCUGGGAAACUGGGAGUAAUACCGUAUACGCCCUAUUGGGGAAAGUUUUAUCGGAGAAGGAUCAGCCCGCGUUGGAUUAGGUAGUUGGUGGGGUAAUGGCCUACCAAGCCGACGAUCCAUAGCUGGUUUGAGAGGAUGAUCAGCCACACUGGGACUGAGACACGGCCCAGACUCCUACGGGAGGCAGCAGUGGGGGAUCUUAGACAAUGGGGGCAACCCUGAUCGAGCCAUGCCGCGUGAGUGAUGAAGGCCUUAGGGUUGUAAAGCUCUUUCAGCUGGGAAGAUAAUGACGGUACCAGCAGAAGAAGCCCCGGCUAACUCCGUG